rnacentral:rRNA from 1 species
AGCGAACGCUGGCGGCAGGCUUAACACAUGCAAGUCGAGCGGGCAUCCUUGUGGUGUCAGCGGCAGACGGGUGAGUAACGCGUGGGAACGUGCCCUUCGGUUCGGAAUAACUCAGGGAAACUUGAGCUAAUACCGGAUACGUGCGAGAGCAGAAAGGUUUAUCUGCCGAAGGAUCGGCCCGCGUCUGAUUAGCUAGUUGGUGAGGUUAUGGCUCACCAAGGCGACGAUCAGUAGCUGGUCUGAGAGGAUGAUCAGCCACACUGGGACUGAGACACGGCCCAGACUCCUACGGGAGGCAGCAGUGGGGAAUAUUGGACAAUGGGGGCAACCCUGAUCCAGCCAUGCCGCGUGAGUGAUGACGGCCUUAGGGUUGUAAAGCUCUUUUCUCCGGGACGAUAAUGACGGUACCGGAGGGAUAAGCCCCGGCUAACUUCGUG